rnacentral:rRNA from 1 species
UACGUAGGGCGCAAGCGUUGUCCGGAAUCAUUGGGCGUAAAGCGCACGUAGGCGGUCUGUUAAGUCGGAUGUGAAAGCCCUCGGCUCAACCGAGGAAGUGCAUACGAAACUGGCGGACUGAAUAUGGAAGAGGGUCGCGAAUUCCCGGUGUAGAGGUGAAAUUCGUAGAUAUCGGGAGGAACGCCCGUGGCGAAAGCGAGGUCCUGGACGCUUACUGACGCUGAUGCACGAAAGCUAGGGGAGCAAACAGG